rnacentral:lncRNA from 9 species
AGUCGUUCAGUCCUAAAAGAACCAUUCAUCUCUGUACUUCACACCCACUUUAAAGCUGAGUGGCAGCUUCCAAAUUUAUGUCAGAAUAAACCAGAGUCACAAGUGACUACCACUGGGCCCUACAGAAAUGCGAAGCAAGUCCCUGUCAGGUAUGCAAGGGAAGAACGUUGGCCUGCCCUUCUCUUCUCCAUUUCUGGAGAACUGUCCUGGGGAACUGUAUUUCUGCUUGGCCAUAUGAAACCUAGAGCCACACGGUAGUUUGGACCAUUGUCCAGGAGACCACUGACUCAAACUCUCUUCUCACACUGAGCAGGACUGCCAGGUAGGGCCACUGAGGCUGCCUGAUGCCUCUAUUGGAAUGAACUCCAUCAGGAACAGUACCUACUGGCUUUGUGCAUUAUGACAGCCAGAUAGAUCAACUGCCCUUUUGAACUGAAACAGGAUUUGAGGAUCAUGAGCUUUCUGCUGCUUUCAAGGGGAUCCCCAGUCUAGGAACGGAGGCCCCACCAGCCUCAGACUCACCAGUCAGUAUAUGUUCUUCAUGUGGGUAGGGCUGAUGGAUAAGGCUUCUUCAUACCACUGCUGGGCUUCAUCUGUGUUUCCUCCUAACUCGGCUGACUGGCCACAGUAUAAAAAAACAAAAAUUGAGAAAUGAAAAUAGAAACUAAAUUGUGCACCAAAUACUCAAAGAUAUAGCAAGCUAUAAACAUACUUCUGGGUUGGUGACUUUGUAUCGGCUUUGGAAGAAAGAGUGUGUUUUCAGUGUUUGUUGUUUUCUUCCAAAGGUUUUUCUUUUUAAUAUCUUAACCCAGUUUAAGUUCUCUAGCCAAUGCACGGGAAUGAUUAACAACAGGCUUGUGUAGGGCUGAAGGUGGAAAAUUUACUUUUAAAUUUAUGAGUUCUCUUUGUUUUUUGUUUUUUUGCUUUUUAGGGCCACACAUAUAGCAUAUGGAGUUCCCAGGCUAGGAGUUGAACUGGAGCUGCAGCUGUCUGCCUAUUCCACAGCCACAGCAACACUGAAUCUGAGCUGUGUCUGUGACCUACGCCACAGCUCAUGGCAAUGCUGGAUCCUUAACCAGCUGAGCAAGGUCAGGGAUUGAACCUGAAUACUCAAGGAUCCUAAUUG